rnacentral:rRNA from 1 species
ACGGAGGUGGCAAACGUUGCUCGGAAUCACUGGGCUUAAAGGGCGUGUAGGCGGCCGAUCAAGUCGGAUGUGAAAUCUCUCGGCUCAACCGAGAAACAGCAUUCGAUACUGGUCAGCUAGAGUGCGAGAGGGGUGAGUGGAACUCCAGGUGUAGCGGUGAAAUGCGUAGAUAUCUGGAGGAACGCCGGUGGCGAAAGCGACUCACUGGCUCGCAACUGACGCUGAGGCGCGAAAGCUAGGGGAGCAAACGGG